rnacentral:rRNA from 1 species
GUAGGUGGCAAGCGUUGUCCGGAAUUAUUGGGCGUAAAGCGCGCGCAGGCGGUCCUUUAAGUCUGAUGUGAAAGCCCACGGCUCAACCGUGGAGGGUCAUUGGAAACUGGGGGACUUGAGUACAGAAGAGGAAAGCGGAAUUCCAAGUGUAGCGGUGAAAUGCGUAGAGAUUUGGAGGAACACCAGUGGCGAAGGCGGCUUUCUGGUCUGUAACUGACGCUGAGGCGCGAAAGCGUGAGGAGCAAACAGGGAUUAGAUACCCUGGUAGUCCACGCCGUAAACGAUGAGUGCUAAGUGUUAGGGGGGUUUCCGCCCCCUUAGUGCUGCAGCUAACGCAUUAAGCACUCCGCCUGGGGAGUACGGCCGCAAGGCUG